GCAAGGUUGGCCGAGUCGUCUAAGGCGGUGGUUUCAAGUUCCACUAUCGAAAGAUGCGUGAGUUCAAAUCUCACACCUUGCA
rnacentral:tRNA from 1 species